rnacentral:rRNA from 1 species
GCAGUCGAACGAUGACGGUGGUGCUUGCACCGCCUGAUUAGUGGCGAACGGGUGAGUAACACGUGAGUAACCUGCCCCUCACUUCGGGAUAACCUCGGGAAAUCGUGGCUAAUACCGGAUAUGAACUUCCAUCGCAUGGUGGUUGUUGGAAAGAUUUAUCGGUGGGGGAUGGACUCGCGGCCUAUCAGUUUGUUGGUGAGGUAACGGCUCACCAAGGCGAUGACGGGUAGCCGGCCUGAGAGGGCGACCGGCCACACUGGGACUGAGACACGGCCCAGACUCCUACGGGAGGCAGCAGUGGGGAAUAUUGCACAAUGGGCGGAAGCCUGAUGCAGCGACGCCGCGUGGGGGAUGACGGCCUUCGGGUUGUAAACCCCUUUCAGUAGGGAAGAAGCGAGAGUGACGGUACCUGCAGAAGAAGCGCCGGCUAACUACGUGCCAGCAGCCGCGGUAAUACGUAGGGCGCAAGCGUUGUCCGGAAUUAUUGGGCGUAAAGAGCUUGUAGGUGGCUUGUCGCGUCUGCCGUGAAAACCCGAGGCUCAACCUCGGGCGUGCGGUGGGUACGGGCAGGCUAGAGUGUGGUAGGGGAGACUGGAACUCCUGGUGUAGCGGUGAAAUGCGCAGAUAUCAGGAA